rnacentral:SRP_RNA from 1 species
GCCGGGCGGGGUGGCUCAUGCCUGUAAUCUCAGCACUUUGGGAGGCUGAGGUGAGCGGAUCACCUGAGGUCAGGAGUUCUAGACCAGCCUGGCCAACAUGGUGAAACCUCAUCUCUA